UCCCUACAAGUCACUGGAUACUGCAGCUGCAUUUCUGUGUGCUACAGAACUCUCUUGUAGGAGGAGGAAGGAAGACCAUCCAUUCUGGAUUAUGCAGAAGUGGUAGUUGUCCUUGAGGUGGAGCAGACUAUUCAGUCAAAAUCAGCAAAAAGAGAAGGGAGAACAUGCUGCUUUUGAGGUUGAAGCUACGCUUCUUCCUGUCCCUUAUGCGACUUACAGCCUCUCAUUUGGAAGCGCUGUGUGGCUGGAGAAGCAGGUCCAACUGUACACAUCAAAGCCAAUAUUGCAUUAAAAUUAAUGAGACGAAGCAUAAAACCAAUCUAACGUUAAAAAGUUCAACAUGCCUGUCUGUCAUAGGAAAACUUAAUAAUAAGUGAACUGAGUGGAGAGAAGAACUGGCCACACAAAAUCCUGAACAAGCAAUUUUAUUGAAGAAACUAGACAAGACAGGAACUACUUUCUUGUGGUCCAGUUGAGAUCCAGUCAGACACAUCAGCAGAUCUCUCAGCUGGUUUGGAGACCAUGAAUGCAAGGGACCCACAGAAAGACCUUCCUUCUCAAGUGAAAUGGAAUGUUUAAUUCUAUUAUCUACUUCAGCUCUGACCACAGGUCAAUAUUGUUCAAGAUCAUUUGCUCACUACUGCUGGUAUCUAAAAAUGGCAUAUUGGCUUCUAAUUCAGCCUACUCUAAUAAGCCUAUCUUGACAGUUGUCAUGAAAUACUGA